rnacentral:rRNA from 1 species
CCGUAAUCCGGGUUGCGGACAGUGUCUGGUGGGUAGUUUGACUGGGGCGGUCUCCUCCCAAAGAGUAACGGAGGAGCACGAAGGUUGGCUAAUCCUGGUCGGACAUCAGGAGGUUAGUGCAAUGGCAUAAGCCAGCUUGACUGCGAGCGUGACGGCGCGAGCAGGUGCGAAAGCAGGUCAUAGUGAUCCGGUGGUUCUGAAUGGAAGGGCCAUCGCUCAACGGAUAAAAGGUACUCCGGGGAUAACAGGCUGAUACCGCCCAAGAGUUCAUAUCGACGGCGGUGUUUGGCACCUCGAUGUCGGCUCAUCACAUCCUGGGGCUGAAGUAGGUCCCAAGGGUAUGGCUGUUCGCCAUUUAAAGUGGUACGCGAGCUGGGUUUAGAACGUCGUGAGACAGUUCGGUCCCUAUCUGCCGUGGGCGCUGGAGAAUUGAGGGGGGCUGCUCCUAGUACGAGAGGACCGGAGUGGACGCAUCACUGGUGUUCGGGUUGUCAUGCCAAUGGCACUGCCCGGUAGCUAAAUGCGGAAGAGAUAAGUGCUGAAAGCAUCUAAGCACGAAACUUGCCCCGAGAUGAGUUCUCCCUGAGACUUUAAGUCUCCUGAAGGAACGUUGAAGACGACGACGUUGAUAGGUCGGGUGUGUAAGCGCAGCGAUGCGUUGAGCUAACCGAUACUAAUGAACCGUGAGGCUUAACCUUACAACGCCGAAGGUGUUU